UACGUAGGGGGCUAGCGUUGUCCGGAAUCAUUGGGAGUAAAGAGCGUGUAGGCGGCCCGGUAAGUCCGCUGUAAAAGUCAAAGGCUCAACCUUUGAAUGUCAGUGGAUACUGCCGGGCUAGAGUCCGGAAGAGGCGAGUGGAACUCCUGGUGUAGCGGUGGAAUGCGCAGAUAUCAGGAAGAACACCAACGGCGAAGGCAGCUCGCUGGGACGGUACUGACGCUGAGACGCGAAAGCGUGGGGAGCGAACAGG
rnacentral:rRNA from 1 species